GAUGAACGCUGGCGGCGUGCUUAACACAUGCAAGUCGAACGAAGCACUUAAGAUUGAUUCUUCGGAUGACGUCUUUUGUGACUUAGUGACGGACGGGUGAGUAACGCGUGGGUAACCUGCAUCACACAGGGGGAUAACAGAUAGACAUGACUGCUAAUACCGCAUAACCCGAUAGUAUCGCAGGAUCCAGACGGAAAAGAUUGAUCGGUGUGAGAUGGACCCGCGUCUGAUUAGCUAGUUGGUGAGGUAACGGCACACCAAGGGGACGAGCAGUAGCCGGCCUGAUAGGGUGACCGGCCACAUUUGGACUGCGACACGGCCUAAACUCGUACGGGAGGCAGCAGUAGGGAAUAUUGCACAAGGGGGGAUAACGUGAUGCAGCGACGUGGCGUGAGUGAAGAAGUAUUUCGGUAUGUAAAGUUCUCUCAGCAGAGAAGAAAAUGACGGUACUUGACAAAGAAGCCCCGGCUAACUACGUG
rnacentral:rRNA from 1 species